rnacentral:rRNA from 1 species
GAUGAACGCUGGCGGCGUGCCUAAUACAUGCCAGUCGAGCGAACAGACGAGGAGCUUGCUCCUCUGACGUUAGCGGCGGACGGGUGAGUAACACGUGGAUAACCUACCUAUAAGACUGGGAUAACUUCGGGAAACCGGAGCUAAUACCGGAUAAUAUAUUGAACCGCAUGGUUCAAUAGUGAAAGACGGUUUUGCUGUCACUUAUAGAUGGAUCCGCGCCGCAUUAGCUAGUUGGUAAGGUAACGGCUUACCAAGGCAACGAUGCGUAGCCGACCUGAGAGGGUGAUCGGCCACACUGGAACUGAGACACGGUCCAGACUCCUACGGGAGGCAGCAGUAGGGAAUCUUCCGUAAUGGGCGAAAGCCUGACGGAGCAACGCCGCGUGAGUGAUGAAGGUCUUCGGAUCGUAAAACUCUGUUAUUAGGGAAGAACAAAUGUGUAAGUAACUAUGCACGUCUUGACGGUACCUAAUCAGAAAGCCACGGCUAACUACGUG